CCUACGGGUGGCAGCAGUGGGGAAUAUUGGACAAUGGGGGGAACCCUGAUCCAGCGACGCCGCGUGAGUGAAGAAGUGUUUCGGUAUGUAAAGCUCUAUCAGCAGGGAAGAAAAUGACGGUACCUGACUAAGAAGCCCCGGCUAACUACGUGCCAGCAGCCGCGGUAAUACGUAGGGGGCAAGCGUUAUCCGGAUUUACUGGGUGUAAAGGGGGCGUAGACGGCAGCACAAGUCUGGAGGGAAAUGCCGGGGCUUAACCCCGGAACUGCUUUGGAAACUGUGCAGCUAGAGUGCAGGAGAGGUAAGUGGAAUUCCUAGUGUAGCGGUGAAAUGCGUAGAUAUUAGGAGGAACACCAGUGGCGAAGGCGGCUUACUGGACUGUAACUGACGUUGAGGCUCGAAAGCGUGGGGAGCAAACAGGAUUAGAUACCCGUGUAGUC
rnacentral:rRNA from 1 species